rnacentral:tRNA from 1 species
GGGCCCGUAGUUAAUCGGUAUAACACCUCGUUUGCAUCGAGGAAUGAGCGGUCCAAUUCCGCUCGGGUCCA